rnacentral:rRNA from 1 species
UAGGGAAUCUUCCGCAAUGGACGAAAGUCUGACGGAGCAACGCCGCGUGAGUGAAGAAGGAUUUCGGUUCGUAAAACUCUGUUGUUAGGGAAGAAAAAAUGUAUAGUAACUAUAUACAAAAGAGACGGUACCUAACCAGAAAGCCACGGCUAACUACGUGCCAGCAGCCGCGGUAAUACGUAGGUGGCAAGCGUUGUCCGGAAUUAUUGGGCGUAAAGCGCGCGCAGGUGGUUUAGAAAGUCUGAUGUGAAAGCCCACGGCUCAACCGUGGAGGGUCAUUGGAAACUAAUAAACUUGAGUGCAGGAGAGAAAAGUGGAAUUCCUAGUGUAGCGGUGAAAUGCGUAGAGAUUAGGAGGAACACCGGUGGCGAAAGCGGCUUUGUGGCCUGCAACUGACACUGAGGCGCGAAAGAGUGGGGAGCAAACAGG